rnacentral:sRNA from 1 species
AACCAGCGUGGGUUGAGGAUAGCCGGCC